CAAAGGCAUGGUCCUGACCUUAUUAUCAGCUCUAGCCCAACUUACACAUGCAAGUCUCCGCAACCCCGUGAGUAUGCCCUCAAUCCCCUGCCCGGGGACGAGGAGCGGGCAUCAGGCACAAAUUUUAGCCCAAGACGCCUAGCCAAGCCACACCCCCAAGGGAAUUCAGCAGUGAUAGACAUUAAGCCAUAAGUGAAAACUUGACUCAGUCAGGGCUAAGAGGGCCGGUAAAACUCGUGCCAGCCACCGCGGUUAGACGAGAGGCCCUAGUUGACACUACUACGGCGUAAAGGGUGGUUAAGGAAAAAUGAACAAUAAAGCCAAAUGGCCCUUUGGCCGUCAUACGCUUCUAGGUGUCCGAAGCCCAACUCCACGAAAGUAGCUUUAGUUAGACCAACCUGACCCCACGAAAGCUGAGGAACAAACUGGGAUUAGAUACCCCACUAUGCUCAGCCAUAAACCUAGACGUCCAGCUACAGUUAGACGUCCGCCAGGGUACUACGAGCAUUAGCUUGAAACCCAAAGGACCUGACGGUGCCUUAGACCCCCCUAGAGGAGCCUGUUCUAGAACCGAUAACCCCCGUUAAACCUCACCACUUCUAGCCACCCCAGCCUAUAUACCGCCGUCGCCAGCUUACCCUGUGAAGGCAAUAAAAGUAAGCAAAAUGGGCACAACCCAGAACGUCAGGUCGAGGUGUAGCGCACGAAGCGGGAAGAAAUGGGCUACAUUUUCUACCACCAGAACACUACGGACAUGCAACAUGAAAUAGUGCUUGAAGGAGGAUUUAGUAGUAAAAAGGAAGCAGAGUGUCCUUUUGAACCCGGCUCUAAGGCGCGUACACACCGCCCGUCACUCUCCCCUGUCAACAUGCAUUAAAAGUACAUAAUAUCAGAGCACUGACAAGGGGAGGCAAGUCGUAACAUGGUAAGUGUACCGGAAGGUGCACUUGGACUAAACC
rnacentral:ncRNA from 1 species